UACAGAGGGUGCGAGCGUUGUUCGGAAUUAUUGGGCGUAAAGGGCGCGUAGGCGGUGCGGUAAGUCACCUGUGAAAUCUCCUGGCUCAACUGGGAGCUUGCAGGCGAAACUGCCGUGCUGGAGUGUGGGAGAGGUGCGUGGAAUUCCUGGUGUAGCGGUGAAAUGCGUAGAGAUCCGGAAGAACACCGGUGGCGAAGGCGGCCCGCUGGGCUGUUGCUGGACGCUGAGGCGCGACAGCGUGGGGGAGCAAACAGG
rnacentral:rRNA from 1 species